rnacentral:rRNA from 1 species
GAUGAACGCUGACAGAAUGCUUAACACAUGCAAGUCAACUUGAACUUCGGUUUGGGUGGCGGACGGGUGAGUAACGCGUAAAGAACUUGCCUCACAGCUAGGGACAACAUUUGGAAACGAAUGCUAAUACCUGAUAUUAUGAUUAUAUGGCAUCGUAUAAUUAUGAAAGCUAAAUGCACUGUGAGAGAGCUUUGCGUCCCAUUAGCUAGUUGGAGAGGUAACGGCUCACCAAGGCGAUGAUGGGUAGCCGGCCUGAGAGGGUGAUCGGCCACAAGGGGACUGAGACACGGCCCUUACUCCUACGGGAGGCAGCAGUGGGGAAUAUUGGACAAUGGACCAAGAGUCUGAUCCAGCAAUUCUGUGUGCACGAUGAAGUUUUUCGGAAUGUAAAGUGCUUUCAGUUGGGAAGAAAGAAAUGACGGUACCAACAGAAGAAGUGACGGCUAAAUACGUGCCAGCAGCCGCGGUAAUACGUAUGUCACGAGCGUUAUCCGGAUUUAUUGGGCGUAAAGCGCGUCUAGGUGGUUAUGUAAGUCUGAUGUGAAAAUGCAGGGCUCAACUCUGUAUUGCGUUGGAAACUGUAUAACUAGAGUACUGGAGAGGUAAGCGGAACUACAAGUGUAGAGGUGAAAUUCGUAGAUAUUUGUAGGAAUGCCGAUGGGGAAGCCAGCUUACUGGACAGAUACUGACGCUGAAGCGCGAAAGCGUGGGUAGCAAACAGG